CAUGGCACCCUUACAAAACACUGACUUUGGUUCUCAAUACAGUAAGUGCUUUUUGUUGAGGUAGUUUUG
rnacentral:pre_miRNA from 1 species